GACGAACGCUGGCGGCGUGCUUAACACAUGCAAGUCGAACGAUGAACCCGGAGCUUGCUCUGGGGGAUUAGUGGCGAACGGGUGAGUAACACGUGAGUAACCUGCCAUGGACUCUGGGAUAAGCGUUGGAAACGACGUCUAAUACCGGAUAGGACCUUGGAUCGCAUGAUCUGGGGUGGAAAGUUUUUUCGGUCUGGGAUGGACUCGCGGCCUAUCAGCUUGUUGGUGAGGUAAUGGCUCACCAAGGCGUCGACGGGUAGCCGGCCUGAGAGGGUGACCGGCCACACUGGGACUGAGACACGGCCCAGACUCCUACGGGAGGCAGCAGUGGGGAAUAUUGCACAAUGGGCGAAAGCCUGAUGCAGCAACGCCGCGUGCGGGAUGACGGCCGUCGGGUUGUAAACCGCUUUUAGUAGGGAAGAAGGGCUUCGGCUUGACGGUACCUGCAGAAAAAGGACCGGCUAACUACGUG
rnacentral:rRNA from 1 species